rnacentral:rRNA from 1 species
AUAUUACUAAGCGGAGGAAAAGAAAUUAACAAAGAUUGCCUUAGUAAGGGCGACUGAACCGGCAAAAGCUCAAAAUUGGAAUCGAUGAUUCAAUGAAUCUUCGAAUUGUAAUCAGGCCAGCCUAAAUACGAGAGUUAUUUUAACGACGUCGAAUCGUCGACCAAGGAGGGUGAAAGUCCCGUGUAGAUUUCUCUCGAGUAAGGUGAGCCCCACAAGAGUCGGGUUGCUUGGAACUGCAGCCCUAAGUGGGAGAUAUGAAUCUUCCAAAGCUAAAUAAGGAUGGGAGACCGAUAGCGAACAAGUACUGCGAAGGAAAGAUGAAAAGGACUUUGAAAAGAGAGUGAAAAGAUCUGAAAUCGUUGAGAAGGAAGCGGUAGAAACUGAUGGUCGUACUGAUAGUUAUCGCGGUGAACAACUGCGUAGUACUUACCGGAACGAUGGGCAAAAUGAAGCCGAAAGCGUCAAAAAAGGCUUUGGCCGAUUAAGGCGUAAUCGACUUGAGGGACUAUUGUGAUUUUGCCAAAAUGGUUUCUACUGU